rnacentral:rRNA from 1 species
UACGUAGGGGGCAAGCGUUGUCCGGAUUUAUUGGGCGUAAAGAGCGUGUAGGCGGCCUGACAGGUCUGCUGUGAAAACUCGAGGCUCAACCUCGAGAUGUCGGCGGAAACCGUCUGGCUAGAGUCCGGAAGAGGAGAGUGGAAUUCCUGGUGUAGCGGUGAAAUGCGCAGAUAUCAGGAGGAACACCGGUGGCGAAGGCGGUUCUCUGGGCAUUACCUGACGCUGAGGAGCGAAAGUGUGGGGAGCGAACAGG